AAUAAAAAACAAGAAUAAUCCACCUAUUUUUGCCUCUCUUUUUUUCUUAUGUCUAAAUAUAUUAUAGUAUGGUAUUUAUAUGUGUCUAAAUGUAUUAUAGUAUUUAGAUGUGUCUUUAGCAAAUGUUAGAUUCUAUAUCUGACAAGAAAAAUAUGCAAGCAUGCUCUAUAUUGAAUACUAUUAUCUCAAACAAUGUUAUUGAAGUAAAGUAAAUAUUUUUUGUUUUCCACCUACCAACAGUGCAAAGUAUUUUUCUAACUAUAUAUAAUGUAUAUAAAAAUAUUAUUUCACUUAAUUGUGACUAUUAAUUAUUUGGAUUAGUCUCCUGCAAUUCUUCUCUCAUUUUUGGAUACAAAAAAAAAGCUUUUGAGGGUGUUUUUAUUUUAUUUUGAAUUCGUUGCUCGUAGUGGUUAGUAAGAUUCUUUGUAGAAAGAAAUCAUAAAAAUUUUGAUUGUUUGAUUGAUUUUACUAGAUUUGUUGGAUCACAUCUUGCACGAUAGAUUAUUGCUACAUGAUGGCAUUUCACCGGAGUUUACAUGAAUCGUCUUGAACAACUUGUUUUGUUUACAUUUUUUGUGUCACAAGACUGAUUCAAAUAAGGGUUUGUAUCUCCUCUAGUUUGACUAUGAAUCAAUUUGUUGCUCGUAGUGGUUAGUAAGAUCUCGUUUUUUUCCCCGACUCUUCCUUCUCUCUCUAACCUAAUCGCUGCUCUUCAUCUUCCUCGUCUUGGCCACGAUCUGACCGGCGCGUGACGGCUCCCACAGCGUCGGCGUCGGUCCUCUCUUUCAUUUAUUGUCUUUGAUUUCUUCGAUUUUGGAAGUGUGGUAGUUUUGGCGAGUUGUUUUGGGUUAUUGUUGAAUCUCAGAUCUGAUGGAGUUUGGUUCUAGGAGACUGGAAUCGAAAGGGCUUUUGAUUGAUGGUGAUGAUGGAGUCGUAGUUCUCACUAUCGAAUCUAUGUGUGGUGCCUCUUCUUGUCCCUGACCACUUGCUUCAUUGUGUUUGGAGCAUCUAUGGCUUCUUCUGAUCUGAACAACGGCUCUGUUUUCUCGGUGACCCAAUUCUCCUCUUGUCUCUCAUGCUUCUUUUUUCUUUGGCUCUUCGUUGGUUGUGUUUGGUUUAGAUCUUGUAGUUUGUGUUGAAGGUUUAGUUGGUGCUUUAGGCUUGGGCAGAGAUUAAGUUUUGCUUUAUUGGGUUCUAACUCUACGGCUUAUUGUAUGGCUUUGCUGUGCUUUCCGGAUUAGUGCUUUGCUUGUUUUAACUCUCUGCUUUGGGUUCCUAGUUCUUCUUCGCUGUUUGCUUCCUCUCGUUUAUGUGUGGGUUCUGGUGGGCUAGGUUCGUGUUUGGGGUUUGUCUCUCGGAUGGUACAUCGUUGUAGGUGCAUCUACUAGGUCUUUUAUGAAGCCGUCUUCGGUUUUCGUUGUUGGGUUCUAAGCACAGCAGUGGUUUCGUUCACUAGUUCUUCUCUUGCGAGGUCGUGACCGGUUCAGGUUAUUUGUGCCUAGUUUCGCUCGAGCUCAUUUCCAUGGUGGAGAUGGCAUGAUGGUGUUUGUUGCUGUGCUCAUUUUUUGGAUUGAUCUCGCUCUCUGUUCUGUCAGAUUGUUGCUGGUUGAGCUUUCAGAUUCGUUCUUCUUCGGGAUCUCCGGUCUAUUGGAGUUUGCAUGUUUGGUUGGUUCUUCUUGAGGCUCAUGUUUCUUGGUUUCAACUCCGACGCCAACCGUUUCUCUGGAAUUAUUUUGCGGGUUAUGAUGGUUUCGAGUCUCAGAUUUAGUUUUUGGGUUCCUUUUGAGUUUACCUUCUUGUACCUUUUGGUUUAUAGUUUGCUUCCCUCUUUUGAGCUUAGUUUCCCAGGGAUAUUUAUGUCUUCCGCCGGCUUAGUUUCCAAAAGAGUUUUGACUCUUGUCGGUGUUGUAUUUUAAAACCGUAUUCUACCCCUCGUAUAAUAUAAUGGAAUCAUUCAGACGAAAAAAAAAAAA